rnacentral:rRNA from 1 species
GACGUAGGGUGCAAGCGUUGUCCGGAUUUACUGGGCGUAAAGCGCGCGUAGGCGGCCAACUAAGUCAUACGUGAAAUCCCUCGGCUUAACCGGGGAACUGCGUCUGAUACUGGAUGGCUUGAGUUCGGGAGAGGGAUGCGGAAUUCCAGGUGUAGCGGUGAAAUGCGUAGAUAUGUGGAGGAACACCGAUGGCGAAGGCAGCCCCCUGGGUCAAGACUGACGCUCAUGCACGAAAGCGUGGGGAGCAAACAGG